UCUCCGUAGGUGAACCAGCGGAGGGAUCAUUACUGAGUGAGAAACCUCUGAGUCCUUCGUGACCGCCGCUUCUAUUGUCCCUUGUUGCGUCGGUGAGCCCGCCUCACGCCCGCCGGGGGGCAUCUCUCCCCGCGCCCGCGUUCGCCGGAUACCCCCUUGAACUAUGUCAAAAUUUUGCCGACGGAGCGAAUGCUAAAUAAGUCAAAACUUUCAACAACGGAUCGCUUGGUUCACGCAUGAAUGCCGAACGCAGCUGACUGGAAGAGCACACGUCUGAUC
rnacentral:misc_RNA from 1 species